rnacentral:rRNA from 1 species
UCAUUAUAUCAGUUAUGGUUCCUUAGAUCGUUAACAGUUACUUGGAUAACUGUGGUAAUUCUAGAGCUAAUACAUGCAAUUAAAACAUGAACCUUAUGGGACAUGUGCUUUUAUUAGGCUAAAACCAAGCGAUCGCAAGAUCGUUAUAUUGGUUGAACUCUAGAUAACAUGCAGAUCGUAUGGUCUUGUACCGACGACAGAUCUUUCAAAUGUCUGCCCUAUCAACUUUUGAUGGUAGUAUCUAGGACUACCAUGGUUGCAACGGGUAACGGGGAAUCAGGGUUCGAUUCCGGAGAGGGAGCCUGAGAAACGGCUACCACAUCUAAGGAAGGCAGCAGGCGCGUAAAUUACCCACUCCCAGCUCGGGGAGGUAGUGACGAAAAAUAACAAUACAGGACUCAUAUCCGAGGCCCUGUAAUUGGAAUGAGUACACUUUAAAUCCUUUAACAAGGACCAAUUGGAGGGCAAGUCUGGUGCCAGCAGCCGCGGUAAUUCCAGCUCCAAUAGCGUAUAUUAAAGUUGUUGCGGUUAAAACGUUCGUAGUUGAACUUGUGCUUCAUACGGGUAGUACAACUUACAAUUGUGGUUAGUACUAUACCUUUAUGUAUGUAAGCGUAUUACCGGUGGAGUUCUUAUAUGUGAUUAAAUACUUGUAUUUUUUCAUAUGUUCCUCCUAUUUAAAAACCUGCAUUAGUGCUCUUAAACGAGUGUUAUUGUGGGCCGGUACUAUUACUUUGAACAAAUUA